UGCACUUAAAUCAGAGGAUAUAUGUGUGAAAGCCUAUUAACUUCAGGUUAACGAAUUUCUUAGAAUUUGGUUAACAAAUACAUUUUCUUACUUCCUUUCAGUUGCACAGGAGUUCUGCCUGAUACAUGGCCAGAUGAGAAAUCUACCUUGUAGUAAAUGGGGCAACCAAGCAAGGCUGCAUGGAAAAAAACAUGAGAAAAGAGACAGUAAGAGGGAUGCAGCCCAUGGUUUGUUUUCUGACUAGCAUUCAGUACUUCAUUCUGCCCCGUGCACUGACAUUUGUGAUCAUUUCAUCCUCCUGUUUUGAGUUUCCAAGCCUUGGGCCUGCUGCUGAGAACUCCCUCCCUCCCAUUCUCAGGAAUGACAAUCUCACAGAGCCUUAGGAAUGCAGUUAUUGAGGCAGAUCACUAUCUUGGAGGAAAAGAACCAGACCUGGACAAAAUGCUCCAGUGGCAAUCCCACCAGUGCCAAAUAGAGAGGUAAUGCUGCUCUGAAGUGUCUGGAUUCUCAAAAUAACACUCUAAUGAUGGUGCAUCCUCAAAUGCUAGAGCUAAAAGUGAAGGGAAACUUUAUACAAACACUUUAUACAAACAGCAC